rnacentral:misc_RNA from 1 species
AACAUCGCGCACCUGCGGGAACCUGCGGAGGGAUCAUUACAGAGUUCGUGCCCUCGCGGGUAGAUCUCCCACCCUUGUGUAUUCCUUACAUUUUGUUGCUUUGGCAGGCCGUUGGUUCGCCAACCACCGGCUCUACGGGCUGGUGCGUGCCUGCCAGAGGACCCCCCAAACUCGGUUUGUUAGUGUCGUCUGAGUAACCAUAACAAUCGUUAAAACUUUCAACAACGGAUCUCAGAUCGG